UACGUAGGGGGCAAGCGUUGUCCGGAAUCAUUGGGCGUAAAGCGCGCGUAGGCGGCCCGGUAAGUCCGUUGUGAAAGUCAAAGGCUCAACCUUUGAACGCCGAUGGAUACUGCCGGGCUAGAGUCCGGAAGAGGCGAGUGGAAUUCCUGGUGUAGCGGUGGAAUGCGCAGAUAUCAGGAGGAACACCGGUGGCGAAGGCGGGUCUCUGGGCCGAUAUCGACGCUGAGGAGCGAAAGCGUGGGGAGCGAACAGG
rnacentral:rRNA from 1 species